rnacentral:rRNA from 2 species
GGAAGUAAAAGUCGUAACAAGGUCUCCGUUGGUGAACCAGCGGAGGGAUCAUUACCGAGUUUACAACUCCCAAACCCAAUGUGAACGUUACCAAACUGUUGCCUCGGCGGGAUCUCUGCCCCGGGUGCGUCGCAGCCCCGGACCAAGGCGCCCGCCGGAGGACCAACCUAAAACUCUUAUUGUAUACCCCCUCGCGGGUUUUUUUAUAAUCUGAGCCUUCUCGGCGCCUCUCGUAGGCGUUUCGAAAAUGAAUCAAAACUUUCAACAACGGAUCUCUUGGUUCUGGCAUCGAUGAAGAACGCAGCGAAAUGCGAUAAGUAAUGUGAAUUGCAGAAUUCAGUGAAUCAUCGAAUCUUUGAACGCACAUUGCGCCCGCCAGUAUUCUGGCGGGCAUGCCUGUCCGAGCGUCAUUUCAACCCUCGAACCCCUCCGGGGGGUCGGCGUUGGGGAUCGGCCCUCCCUUAGCGGGUGGCCGUCUCCGAAAUACAGUGGCGGUCUCGCCGCAGCCUCUCCUGCGCAGUAGUUUGCACACUCGCAUCGGGAGCGCGGCGCGUCCACAGCCGUUAAACACCCAACUUCUGAAAUGUUGACCUCGGAUCAGGUAGGAAUACCCGCUGAACUUAAGCAUAUCAAUAAGCGGAGG